UACGUAGGGGGCGAGCGUUGUCCGGAUUUAUUGGGCGUAAAGAGCUCGUAGGCGGUUUGGUAAGUCGGGUGUGAAAUCUCCACGCUCAACGUGGAGGGGCCACUCGAUACUGCCAUGACUCGAGUCCGGUAGAGGAGAGUGGAAUUCCCGGUGUAGCGGUGAAAUGCGCAGAUAUCGGGAAGAACACCCGUGGCGAAGGCGGCUCUCUGGGACGGUACUGACGCUGAGACGCGAAGGCGUGGGGAGCGAACAGG
rnacentral:rRNA from 1 species